rnacentral:rRNA from 1 species
CUACGGGGGGCUGCAGUGAGGAAUAUUGCACAAUGGGGGGAACCCUGAUGCAGCAACGCCGCGUGGAGGAUGACGCAUUUCGGCGUGUAAACUCCUUUUAUAUGUCAAGAAAAUGACGGUAGCAUAUGAAUAAGCACCGGCUAACUCCGUGCCAGCAGCCGCGGUAAUACGGAGGGUGCAAGCGUUACUCGGAAUCACUGGGCGUAAAGGACGCGUAGGCGGGUUGGAAAGUCAGGUGUGAAAUCCUACAGCUUAACUGUAGAACUGCACUUGAAACUUAUAAUCUAGAGUAUGGGAGGGGGAGAUGGAAUUAGUGGUGUAGGGGUAAAAUCCGUAGAUAUCACUAGGAAUACCUAAAGCGAAGGCGAUCUCCUGGAACAUUACUGACGCUAAGGCGUGAAAGCGUGGGGAGCAAACAGGAUUAGAUACCCGCGUAGUC